rnacentral:rRNA from 1 species
UACGUAGGGCGCGAGCGUUGUCCGGAAUUAUUGGGCGUAAAGAGCUCGUAGGCGGCCGGUUGCGUCUGCUGUGAAAUCCCGGGGCUUAACCCCGGGCGUGCAGUGGAUACGGGCCGGCUGGAGGCAGGCAGGGGAGAAUGGAAUUCCCGGUGUAGCGGUGAAAUGCGCAGAUAUCAGGAGGAACACCGGUGGCGAAGGCGGGUCUCUGGGCCGAUACUGACGCUGAGGAGCGAAAGCGUGGGGAGCGAACAGG